GAUGAACGCUGGCGGCGUGCCUAAUACAUGCAAGUCGAGCGAACAGACGAAGAGCUUGCUCCUCUGACGUUAGCGGCGGACGGGUGAGUAACACGUGGAUAACCUACCUAUAAGACUGGGAUAACUUCGGGAAACCGGAGCUAAUACCGGAUAAUAUAUUGAACCGCAUGGUUCAAUAGUGAAAGACGGUUUUGCUGUCACUUAUAGAUGGAUCCGCGCCGCAUUAGCUAGUUGGUAAGGUAACGGCUUACCAAGGCAACGAUGCGUAGCCGACCUGAGAGGGUGAUCGGCCACACUGGAACUGAGACACGGUCCAGACUCCUACGGGAGGCAGCAGUAGGGAAUCUUCCGCAAAGGGCGAAAGCCUGACGGAGCAACGCCGCGUGAGUGAUGAAGGUCUUCGGAUCGUAAAACUCUGUUAUUAGGGAAGAACAAAUGUGUAAGUAACUAUGCACGUCUUGACGGUACCUAAUCAGAAAGCCACGGCUAACUACGUG
rnacentral:rRNA from 1 species